rnacentral:piRNA from 1 species
UAGAUGAGGAAAAUUACUCAUGGGCGUGGC